GCACCUAUAGCUCAGCAGGAUAGAGCGACGGUUUCCUAAACCGCAGGCCGGAGGUUCGAAUCCUCUUAGGUGCACCA
rnacentral:tRNA from 1 species